rnacentral:tRNA from 1 species
GUCUUCGUGGUGUAGUGGUCAGCACGCUCGACGCGUAACCGAAAUAUCCGUGGUUCGAUUCCCAGCGAAGGCG